GCAGUGGUGGUUCAGUGGUAGAAUUCUCGACUUCUGUGCAGGAGACUAAGGUUCGAGUCCCAGCCAAUGCA
rfam:Loxodonta africana unplaced genomic scaffold scaffold_20, whole genome shotgun sequence.